CUGCUGACAGAGAGAACAGUGUCGGGAGACAAAGACGACUGCAGAUCACCUCUCUCUCAGCUCUCAUGGCUCCAUUAAUGCUCCUGUUGUUUCUUCUGUCUGAAGCAGCUUCUGACGUGAUUGAGAUAACAGUGCACCCUGGACAGGAUGUCAAUCUUCCAUGUCAGGCUCCUGAUUCCUUCAUCAGAGCUCUAGAGUGGACCAGACCUGACCUGGAGCCAGAUACCGUCCUCUUAUACAGUGAUGGACACUUUGAAACAGAUGACCAGAAUCCAUCCUUUAAGGACAGGGUGGAGCUGGUGGACAGAGAGCUAAAGAAUGGAGACGUAUCUUUAAUUCUGAAGAAUGUGAGCAGCAUCGACAACGGGACAUACAAGUGUGGAGUUAAAGCAGGUGGUCCAAGACGUAAGAAGAGAGACAGUGACCCAAUCAGAACCAUCAGAACCGUCCGUCUACAGGUUACAGAGCCAGACCUGACUGUGGUAACAGUGCACCCUGGAGAUGAUGUCAUUCUGCCAUGUAAGGCUGCUGAUUCCUUCAUCAGAGCUGUAGAGUGGAGCAGAGCUGACCUGGAGCCAGAUAUCAUCCUCUUAUACAGUGAUGGACACUUGGAAACAGAUUAACACAAUCCAUCCUUUAAGGACAGGGUGGACCUGGUGGACAGAGAUCUGAAGGGCGGGAACGUGUCUUUAAUAAGAAUGUGAGCAGCAUCGACAACGGAACAUACAAGUGUGGAGUUAAAGCAGGUGGUCCAAGACGUAAGAAGAGAGACAGUGACCCAAUCAGAAUCAUCAGAACCGUCCAUCUGCAGGUUACAGAGCCAGGUCUGGACAGCGAAAACACAAUGAAUGAUGUCCCUGAGGAUGGAAACUCCUCUCCUGUAGACCUAUACGGUGGACUGGCAGCAGGUGUUCUGAUUCUUGUAGCUGUUGCAGUGGUUGGUGUCCUGAUAUAUAAAAGACA